UUACAUGUUUAAACCUGAAGGCAGUAACAGUAAGGCCUACAUUUUUGUUUCCUUCAUCCAUGAAACUAUUUUAAACUUUCUAAUUGGGUAAAAAGGUGAUUAAAUUUAGAAUAUUUUAUUCAUUGUUGCAAAUCCAACUAUUAGUAGACCCUUCAAAUAACUUCUCUUUUAUCACUUUGGAGCAAUUUCCAGGAAAGCGUUUGGAAAUGCUGAGUGUUUGUUCCAACCUGCUUUCAAAAACAUAUGUAAUCAAAGCCUUAAAUUCCUCAUAACCAAAUCCCCCUGAGUCACUCAACUUUGAGAGACUUUGACCCAUCUAGUCUUCCAAGCUUACCAUUCUCGAAAUAAUUAUCACUAAUUCCAUCCGUAUCUCAUCACUCACCCUCUCUUUUUUUGGAGAAAAAAACUAUGGGAAGCCUUUGCCUAGUUUUGGUGGUCUUGCAACUUUCAUGGACUUUGUCUUCCUCUGUUCCCCCUCCAUCCUCUCAUGUAUGUCUCCCUCACGAACGAGACGCUUUGCUCCAUUAUAAAACCACCAUUUCUGUUGAUUGUGAUUUGAAUUCUGGUAGUUAUAAUAAAGAUCCUUACCCCAGGAUAGACAUAGAGUCAUGGAACAAAAGCACUGAUUGUUGUUCAUGGGAGGGAGUGAAAUGCGACAACGUGGCCGGUCAUGUAAUCGGCAUCGAUCUUAGUCACAGUUGCCUUGUUGGUUCUCUCUUUGCAAACAACAGCCUCUUUCAACUUCACAACCUCCAAUGGCUUGACUUGAGCUCCAACAACCUCAGAGGCUCUCUUCUUGAGAACACUAGCAGCUUGUUUCACUUUCAUGGACUCCGACGACUCAACCUUGCUGGUAAUAGUUUCAAUGGCACCAUCUCAUCAAAGUUAUUUAGCCAGUUGGUGAGUUUAACCCAUCUUAAUCUCUCUUUUAAUGGGAUCUUUGAUGAUGUUGAAUCAUAUUUGAGAUUUGAUGGCGAAGGUUUCGACAUGCUUGCAAGAAACUUGACCAAAUUAAGAAACCUUGUGCUUGACACUGUAGAUAUGUCUGAUGUUGAACUUACUUCCUUUCUAAACUUGUCUUCAUCACUUGAACAUUUGAGUCUCGAAGCUUGUGAAUUACACGGGGAAUUUCCAUCUCAAGUUUUUCAGCUUCCGAACCUCAAAGUUUUAGGUUUAAAUGGGAAUUUCAAUCUCACAGGUUAUCUCCCUAAAACAAAUUGGAGUAGUAGCCUUGAGUUGUUGGACCUUUCCUCAUGUGAUUUUAGGGGGUCAAUCCCAACAUUAUUUGGAAAUCUCACUCAAAUCAUUGCCGUUGAUUUAUCUGGAAAUUCGCUUGAAGGACAGAUUCCAGAUGUUUUUGGAAGCCUUAGAAAACUAACUUCUUUGAGCUUUCCUUAUUGCAAUUUGAGUGGUCCACUUCCAAGAAGUAUCUUCAACCUCACAAAAAUUACCCAUUUGGAUUUGCGAAGUAAUCACUUGGAAGGUCCCUUUCCAAAUCAUGUUAAUGAGCUUCAAUUUCUAGAGGACCUUCUGUUAAAUAAUAACUCUAUAAGUGGUGGAGUACCAUCUUGGCUGUUUACUUUGCCAUCUCUUCUACAAUUGGACCUCGGUUAUAAUAAACUAAUUGGUCCUAUUGACCAAAUUCAGAAGCCUGGUUUUGUCCAACAUGUUGAUUUGAGUUAUAAUGACAUUGGUGGUCCAAUACCGUAUUCCAUUUUUUAUCUUGUGAACCUUACUGAGCUUGAUUUGUCAUCAAACAACUUGAGUGGUCCCAUACCGUAUUCCAUUUUUUAUCUUGUGAACCUUACUGAGCUUGAUUUGUCAUCAAACAACUUGAGUGGUCCCAUACCGUAUUCCAUUUUUGAUCUUGUGAACCUUCGUGAGCUUGAUUUGUCAUCAAACAACUUGAGUGGUGUGAUCAAGUCAGAUAUGCUUUCAAAACUCAUGAGUCUUGAAGUUCUUGAUGUUUCAAGUAAUAGAUUAUUAUCAUUAAGCACAAGAAGCAAUGAUGUGAACUAUUCUUUCCCCCAGCUUACAACUGUGAGCUUCUCUGAUUGUAGCGUAAGGCAGUUCCCGAGUUUCUUUCAAACAUCGAACUUGCAAUAUUUAUAUCUUUCAAAUAACAUGAUUUCUGGGGGAAUUUCCAAAUGGGAAGCUGAAGGGUGGGAACGAUUGCUAUUUUUGGACCUUUCUCAUAACUUUUUGACUGCUUUGGAGCAAUUUCCGGGGAACAAUUUGAGAAUGCUCAACCUUCAAUCCAACUUGCUUCAAGGACCAAUUCUCUCAACUUGCUUGAAUUCUCAAAUUCCAAUUUUAAAGGAGUUGGAAGUGUUCAUCAUUUCAGAGAAUAAUUUGACAGGAAACAUCCCUUCUAUUUGCAAUUUGAGUUCACUUGAUGUUCUGGACUUGUCCAAAAACAGCUUGAGUGGAACUAUUCCUGAUUGUCUUGGAAAUUUUAGCCAUCUCACUUUCUUGGAUUUGCAAAUGAACAACUUCUUUGGCAAGAUCCCUGACUCUUUUGUGAAUAAUAGUGAGUUGAGUCAUCUUUUACUCAACGACAAUCAAUUGGAAGGAUUAGUACCGUCAUCUUUGGCUAAUUCUAUUUCAUUGGAAGUUUUAAAUUUAGGGAAUAACAAGUUAACAGAUAGAUUUCCAUGUUGGUUAGUUUCACUUCCAAGUCUGCAAGUUAUUAUCCUGAGAUUUAAUAGAUUUUAUGGACCACUGCCUCAUUCUGUAGCUUCAUCUAACUUUUCUGCAUUGCGAAUAAUUGAUCUCUCUGAAAAUGACUUCACGGGCACAUUGCCGAUGAAACUCUUUCAAAAUUUGAGAGCAAUGAAAGAUAAACCUAAAGAGUGGUUAUACUCCAUAGCUUUCAAAUUUAGGGGAAGUAGAUUUGGCAGUGAUAUUUAUGAAAUUCCUGUGAAUGUAACAACGAAAAGAUUGGAGAUGGAAUUGACGAAGACUGUGGCCAUUUUCGUAUCUAUGGACUUGUCAAACAACCAAUUCUGUGGAAAAAUUCCGAAGGACGUCGGGCAACUUAUUUCCCUGCAAAUGCUCAACUUCUCUCAUAACAACAUCACCGGUCCUAUCCCAGCAUCGUUUGGAAAUUUGGUAGCACUUGAAUCAUUAGAUCUUUCAUCAAAUAAGCUUGACGGUAGGAUUCCUUCUGAAAUGACAAGUCUAACAUUUCUUGAAGUUUUGAAUCUUUCAAACAACAAUCUUGUUGGACCAAUUCCUCAUGGCAAUCAAUUUGGUACCUUUGAUAAUGAUUCCUACAGCGGUAACUUGGGAUUGUGUGGAUUACCAUUGUCCAAGCAGUGCGUCAACCAUGGGGGGGCCGAACCGCCUUCACCAUUGGUGGUGGAACAUAAAGGUUCUGAAAUACCCUUCUUUUGGCAAGUUAUAUUGAUGGGGUAUGGAAGUGGAGUGGUGGUAGGACUGAGCUUGGGUUACAUUGUAUUCACAACCGGAAGACCAUGGUGGUUUGUUACAAAGGUGGAGAGAGACUGGCAAUACAAUUUCAUGAGGUGGAUACGAAGAAACAGACCAAGAAGAAACUAGCUCUGCAUCCAACAUCGCUUAGUGGCAUUGGAACUCAAGAUUGAAUUGGAUGGAAAGAUUCAGCAUGUUCAGUUCCUUGAGAGCGAGUGUUGAUCAUAAUUUCUAAAUUUAUAUUUGUUUUUCCGAUAACAAUAUUAUUGGUGGGAUUUCCAAAUAGAAAGCUAUUACAAGUUGGCUAACCAAGCAACAGCUCAAGCACAUGUCAAAGUGCGAGUUGACACCGCGAAGUAGUGAAGUGCGAGCUGUCUCCACAAGUGGAGAACUACGAGAUGUCUCUGCGAAGUGGAGAGCUGCGAGAUGACACCACGAAGUGGCGAACUGCAAAAUGACUUCGUAGGUGGCGAGAUGCAGCUGAAGCUUUGGUGCAUGCUGGCCCUAUCGAGUUGCAUGGCAAACUUGUUUAGUUCUUUUGUUAUGUAAUUUAGUUAAGAAUGAACUUUGUUGUUCAUGUUUUUCUAUAUGUUUAGGUGUUGAUAGAGUUGAUUAGUCAGCUUAUUCAUGUGUGUAAGCAAUGUUUUGUUGGUUUCAAUAUAGUUAGUGGGAGUAGUAAAGCAUUUGGUGAAGCAACUGACUUUAAAUGUAUUGCUUUUGUAGUUGAAUGAAUAAGCAGAUUGUUUCAUGCUUCUUAGCUGCA